rnacentral:rRNA from 1 species
CACGUAGGGUGCGAGCGUUGUCCGGAAUUAUUGGGCGUAAAGAGCUCGUAGGUGGCCUGUCGCGUCGGCUGUGAAAACUCGGGGCUCAACUCCGAGCUUGCAGUCGAUACGGGCAGGCUAGAGUUCGGCAGGGGAGACUGGAAUUCCUGGUGUAGCGGUGAAAUGCGCAGAUAUCAGGAGGAACACCGGUGGCGAAGGCGGGUCUCUGGGCCGAUACUGACACUGAGGAGCGAAAGCGUGGGGAGCGAACAGGA